AUCAUGUGGAUUUUCUUUGAGGUGUUUAUGAUAAUCUGUUACAGGAACUGUGAGGCUACACGUUAAACUAUGGUGGAAAAUAUGAGAACUACUUUUCUAGACGCCAUGUCACACAUAUCAUUUGCAGUAAUCUAGCCAACAGCAAAAUAAAAAAUUUGAGGUUUGUAUUAUUUUAGUUACUUUCAGAUCAAUAAAAUUGUGAAAAUUCAAAUUUGAUAUUUAAUUAAUCUCCAGUAAGUUUGAUUUACUGUUCCUGAUCCUAAUACUGGUAUUUUAGUGGAGGGUUCCCAGUGGUGAAACCCUCCUGGAUUUUAGAUUCAGUUGCUGCUAACAAACUCUUGAGUUUAUAAUUAUAUUAAAUGCAACAAAAAGUAGCAGUGGAGAUUGGAUGAGGGGCAUUUGAGCAAGGAAUGUUUUCUGUAGGAGCUUCUGACAUGUUUCCCCUCAGUAUUUUGGUCAUGGUUUGAUGACAGUCAUCUUUUUUCGUUUUUUGAAUGAUGGCAUGAAGAACACUACAUAGUUCAUAAAUUAGUAUUUUAACCUUGAGGGAUUUUCAUUUUCUGAUUUCAUGUGUUCCUUACCAACUUGAACAGAUUGCUUGCAACCGACCAAGACUGUCAGCCUUCUUUUCUCCGAAAAUAAUCUGAGACUCUGGUGAUGCUUUGAGAGAUGCUGCUAAUCUUCGAUGGGUGCCGUAGUGGAAGGUGCUACCAGAUCUGAAAUGGGCAGAUCCACAUAUCACAGGAAAAAUUAGUGGAUAAUCUGAUAACAUUAUGUUUGAGAACGACAAUGAAGAACCUGGUCAGUAGCCAUAUGUAAGUAGUGAAAAAGAUUGUGAAGUGCAAAUUACCGAAAUGACUACUUCGGACGCAGAAGAGGAUGGCAGGGUAAAAGAUGAACUUCCGUGUUUUACCCACCAAACAUCAGCUUCAGAUUGCAGCUACCGCUUGCCAAGCUCUUCAAAUGUUGGGUCUAAUAGAAAUCAUUCAACUCUUGAGGAUCCCAAUUUUGUGGAAAACUGUUUUAAGAGCUUAAGGCUGCACUUCAUACGAACAUGGAGAAAUCGGUAUUGAAAGCGUUUUCCAAGUUCCUCUAAAGGUUUUACGAGCACAGAGCCAAAUUUCGACUGGUUCCCAGAAGGUUGCCAUCAUACACAUUGACAUGGACUGUUUUUUCGUGUCAGUGGUCAUCAGGAAACGCCCUGAGUUUAAGGAUAGGCCGGUAGCUGUGUGCCAUUCUGAUAAUCCAAAGGGAAGUGCUGAAAUUUCAUCUGCAAACUACCCUGCUUGAAAUUAUGGAGUGAAAGCUGGGAUGUUUGUUAGAGAUUGCAAGGCUCUUUGUCCAAACCUUGUCAUUAUUCCAUAUGAUUUUGAAGCUGAUGAGGAGGUAGCGGGUCAGUUCUACGACAUCUUGCAGACGCACUUCAAUAAAGUACAGGUAUGCUUGCUUGUGGGAUUUUUUUCUUGAGUACUUGAAGUUUAAGUUGCCUUCUUGUUAAUAUUGAACUUCUUGAAUUUAGGCACUAAGCUGUGAUGAAACAUUUUGCUGCUUCAACUUCAGAGCUUAAGUUGAAGCAGCAAAAUGUUCAC